AGAUCAGAUCCCAAAUUUUGUAUCAAAUAACGAAUUCUUUUAAAUUUCGUUAUCUCCUUGAUGUUAACACCGUAAUUACUAUUACUCUCCUAAAUCCUCUCAUAAAUCCACUGAAAUUGCCGGAGGAAGAUGAUGAAACCCUUAUUUAUUUUUGAUGAUUUAAUCACACACCGAUUUUUCAUCUCAAAACUCAGUUGUGUUGAAGGUUCUUUGGUUUCGGAUGAUGAGAUCAACCGAAAAUCCAUCUCUAGGGAUAUUUUGGAGCUGUGCAUUAUCAUUUUCGGACUUGGAAAUUUUGAAAUGAUAAUUCAACCUAGGAUUCAUUUGGAAUUGACUGUGAUGCAGGAGCAAACUCUGGUAGACUGUAUACUGUACAGAUGCAAGAUGCUGCUCGUUUCUUUGUGUUUUUCUGAUUAGUCCAAAAUAAAUGCUGAAGGGUAUCCUAGUUGAUUAGUCUUUUUUCCUCGGCAAAACAAGACUAACAUUAUCAGGAAUCAUUUGAAUUGGAGAACCUUAAGUGAUGACGUUACACCCAAGAAACUUUCGGAUGUGAACAACAAGGAGCGUGAAAACAAAUUGUGGAGCCUGUUUACAGAUUGGUGUGGAAACCCAAGCAAUUUUUCAAAUCUCUGCAGCAACUUUUCAGACUCGGCGGGCAUAUAAUCCUGACUUGUGAGACUAUUGCUUUCGGUAACACUAAUCAAGGGGCUGUAUGUGCAAGAACUUAAAUGAGAAAGGGAAUUAAACUCAAUGUUAUUACAUGUGGGACACUUGUGGGCCUAUGUUCAACACACUUAUGGGUUCGGGGAUCUCGUUGCUGAUCAGAGCUUGGUCAAGUAUUCUUGCCUCUGCUUCCAUGAUAUAGUAGCUUGAUUUACAUGAUGGGAUUUCUCAUAUCAGGACUAACUGGGCUCUCUUUUUGGGACUUGGAAACAAUACGCAGCGGAACAAAAUGUUAGGAAUUGGUCUUAUGAGUAUCUACCUAAAUAGAGUGACUAAUGCAAUGAGUAUUUUAUGAUUAGCUGGCCUAAGAAGGUGUUUCCAUUAGCUAACAGUUAAAAAGAAAAGUGAAUGCAAAUAGUGUGUGUCCAUGUAACUGCUCAGAUUGAUUCUGGUUCUUGUAAAUUAGUUAGGUACCAAUCCUUGUAGCAUAUGUUUGACUAGAAUGAAAAUAUCGUGAGAAUGUAUCUGGUUUAAUGAUAAUUUAAAGAUACUUGUUCAGCCUAGCUGUUUCUUAAAUUUUUCGCUUUUUUUUUCUCUCUUUUCGGCAGAUUUUUUUAUUUUCCUUCUUGGUUGUUAGUCCUUUUGUCCUGUCUUCUUUUCCUUGUUGGUUGUUAUUCCUGUUGUCCUGUCUGUUUUAUCAUGCGCGGUGAAAAAAAAACGCAGGAGAUGGAGAUAAGAAAUUGGUAUGUGCUCUCCAAUCUCUCCUUUAGUAGUUAAGAGUUUAUUUUUCUUUCUUUUAUCUUUAGUUCAUAACUUAAAACCUUGAUAUCCAACUGACGCAACUUCAUAUGCUUAAUAUGGUAUGGGAGACGGUCUUCUUGGCUUCGCAUGAUCUUUGUACCACCUGGUUAACUACUGAUAUUAUGAUUUUAUCUGAAAAGUCUGAGCAUAAUAAUGUUGGGAUCAUAUGUUUACUUACUGGAUAUAAGAAACUAUCAGUGAAUGCAGCCAGUAGCUUUUGAUUGAACCCAUGAGCUUAUCGACUGAUAUACAAUUGAUUGAUAUGUAGAAUGGGUAGUGGACACGUAGUAUCAGUAUGCUUCCUAGUUCUCUUUCACCUGAAGAGUUAAAUCUAAAGGUCAGGGGUCCUCGUGUCCUUAGGGCUGAUCCAGUUAACCACGAGAUGACGCUACUUCAUCUUCCAGAUUGAAAUGCAGGAUUGAAAACGUUUCUGAAUUGAACGAGGAAAAUCCUUUCUCUCCUGUUUUCACUAUAGGUUCACAUAAAUGGAAAAGUUGGCAAGCAAAGAUUUAGGCAGCACCAGCUGGUGCUACUAGCUAGUAAACUGGUUCUGUGUGGUUAUGACCUCCUUUCAGCUGAAGAGGAGCAUCUUCUGGCCGAAUUUGCUAAAAUAUCUGGUGUAAGCAUCUCUGUACCCUUGAAGCCAAAUGUGACAUUGUGAUUGGAUUAAAGGGAUUUGUCUAUGAAGUUGGACUGAUAAUCAUGGAUGUCAAGAUGGGCCUCAUAAUGGUAGAUUUCAAGUCAGUAAAUGGGUAACUAACUUUACUCAGGACGAUUUCUGAUAUUUUUUUGUUCUAAUAAGGGGUUCAUAUGUCAAAACAAAAAUCGUAGCAUCUGAAACAUAUUAUAAUUUUUUGGCAUUUUGGUUCAUCCUCCCCAGACCCCUCUUGUUAAGUAUUGACCAUAGGCAUUCAGUAAAGAUUGAUAUAUUUUGUGCAGGCACCAAAACUGUUCAGUGAAGUGGUGACUUUUUUCCUUCGUAUAAAAAAUUUCUUGAAAAACUAGUCUUCAGCUGCCGGAGCUAUAGUACUGACAAUGAACCUGUAUGCAAUGGCAAUUAAGAGGCUUUCCAUGCCAACAUACAAUUUGCACAAACUGCUUGUUGGCGUGGAAAGCGUCCUAAUGGUAUUUGUAAACCAAGUUGAUGAAGAUUACUAGUACAUGAAAGUGAGUUUGGGCUUUCUGUGAGAAUCAAAGGCUCUGUAUCAUUUCCUUCCGCUGGAUUAUGUUCCCAUAUCUAAUCUUCAAAGUAAGUUGGAAGGACAGGCAAACGAGGCAACUGUGCGUACUGCUCGAUAAGAUGGCUUGUGAUGGAUUUAUGGAAGACUAGGUAACAUACCAAGAUUGCUCAGUUUUCUCGAUUAAGCGUGUAACGGUAAAACAAAGUACUCAAAAUUCAAGUUUUACAACAAAAAUCUUUUGUAUAUUUUCUUAGGUAAAUGUGCCUAAGUGUGCCUUUCGAUCUGAUUUGCUUUGUUCUUAAUUCUGUGGUUCAAUCAAACAUUUCAUAAAAUAAAUUCUUAUAUC